GUAGGUGGCAAGCGUUGUCCGGAAUUAUUGGGCGUAAAGCGCGCGCAGGCGGUUCUUUAAGUCUGAUGUGAAAGCCCACGGGCUCAACCGUGGAGGGUCAUUGGAAACUGGAGAACUUGAGUACAGAAGAGGAAAGCGGAAUUCCACGUGUAGCGGUGAAAUGCGUAGAGAUGUGGAGGAACACCAGUGGCGAAGGCGGCUUUCUGGUCUGUAACUGACGCUGAGGCGCGAAAGCGUGGGGAGCAAACAGGAUUAGAUACCCUGGUAGUCCACGCCGUAAACGAUGAGUGCUAAGUGUUAGGGGGUUUCCGCCCCUUAGUGCUGCAGCUAACGCAUUAAGCACUCCGCCUGGGGAGUACGGCCGCAAGGCUG
rnacentral:rRNA from 1 species